GGCAGCCCCCCCAGCCCUCGGCGCCUCUGCAACCCUGCGACGGGCUGGGGAGGCCGGUAUGCGUGGUUCCCGGAGCACCCGUCCCCCGAGGCUCCACGUACUCAAGCGUUUCUGGGGCGGAAUUCUGUGGGCAGCAACGGGGGCCCCCUCUCCAACAAGCGCACCUCAUUUCUCACGUGGGAGCCGCGGCCCAGAGAGCUGAGGUGACAGAGCUUGGGCCGCAGAGCUGCUCCCUCCCUGCAGCCGCACAGCAGGCCGGAGGCACAGCCGGCGAGAGACGGCCACUCGCUUUGGAGCGGCGGCGAGGCCGGCGCCUUCCCGGGCACCAGGGACUGCGUGGCUUGGCCGGAAAUCAGGCUAGAAGCAGCUCCGGGAAGCACAGCCCUUAGCCCAGCGCCUUCCCACACUGUGGCAGGAAUAGCACUGGCGGCCCACGCGCUUGUCAGGGAACAGAACAGCUCUCGCCCGACGCCUGGCAGGGGAGCAGGGAGGCUGCAGCUUCCCCAGCGACCAGCUGUUUCCCAGGCUGGCGGACUCCACGGACCGGCUCCGCGUCUCCUCUCCAGCCUUCUGUUCUCUCUAGAGGAAGAUCUGCGUUUUGUCUGCACUGUGGGCCGACUCUCUAGUGGGGAGCGUCAGACCCUCUAAAGUGGCUGCCUCUCGGGAAAGCUUCCACACCUGUCAUCAGAUUCUCCAAAGGGGCUGUUUGAUGCAAGAAACGGGAAGCCCCGGGGGUACUAGGAGCAGGGCUUGCUGCCAUUGGGCAUGGUGAGGCCCCGGCACCCUGCCCAGGACGGGCCUGUGGGCUGAGCUGCAGAUGGGCAUUGAGGAUGCCCCAACAGCAAGGUGCAGAAGGCAUCCAGAAGCAAAGGAAACUGAUGACCAGCGUCAAAAACAAACAAAAAAAGGGAACUUGGCUCGGCGGUGGCUCACGCCUGUAGUCCCAGCACUUUGGGAGGCAGAGACAGGUGGAUCACGAGGUCAGAAGUCCAAGACCAGCCUGGCCAACAUGGUGAAAUCCCGUCUCUACUAAAAAUACAAAAAUUAUCCAGGCGUGGUGGUGUGUGCCUGUAAUCCUAGCUACUCGGGAGGCUGAGGCAGAAGAAUCGCUUGAACCCGGGAGGUGGAGCCUACAGUGAGUCAACAUGAAGCCAGUGCACGCCAGCCUGGGCGACAGACUCUGUGUUUGUGUGUGUGUGGGGGGGGGAGGGCGGGGCGAGGCGAAGGGAACUUGAGGUUUAAAGCAGGGGGAGGAGGGCCGGAAAUGCUCCCCGCCGCCCCCGACACUCACUCGCCCCAGGCCCCAUCCUAGCCCAGGGUCAGUGUCAUUCCCUUCACCUUAGCCUCUCACUGCCCAAAGAGGCUUACUUUUCUUCUUUAAACUGCUGUUAAAAUUUGGGAGGAAACGGAAAGCAAGGGCACCUGAUGGUUCAGUGCAGCUUCAGGUUAGAGGGGCAUUUGAGGUGCCUGAGCUGGGGGAGGGCCUUCCCCCUGAGGGACUGGGAGAAGGGUAAGCCAUGUGCCCUGGAAGCACUGCAGGGAGCCUCAGAUUUGCACCCCCUGGCUCACACUCGCUGGCGCCAGCCAGCAUGGCAGGGAUGGGCGGGGCUGGUUCUUAGGUUUCCUGCUCUUUGGGUGCUAGCACCCAGGGUAAGGAGACACCCAUGUCCGGUUGCAAGACAAACCCUUCUACCUCCUUUCCUGCCAAAGGCCACCAGCAUCCUCUGCCUCAAUCUCAAUCUUUGGAACUUUUUAGCUCCAAAGUGGUUUGAUGACCACAGGCUAAAAUUCAUAGUCUUAAAAUUUUAGAUAGUUAAGAGACAGAUCUGUUACAGGUUUUCAAAUAAACUGGUCUAUCUAGUGUAAGAGGUCACUGCUGAGCUUCAGUGAGCACCCAUGGGCCUGCUCUUGGAUGGUGGGACAGCUCUCACCUGGGGCAGCACGGCCAUCCCUGCAAGCACACACACCAGGAAGCAGCCUGUAGCCCCUGAGCUGACGCAGACACAAUGCCAUUCUCCAGCAGCGUCUCUGAAAAUUUUAAUUUGUUCUGACAACGAAACUAACACAGCAUAAGGACUUAAGCCCUCAAGCUAGGCAAGACACUGAUGGCCCUUGGAGAAAGCACCAGGGCAGCUGGCAGGAGGCGCUAAGAUGGAUUCUUGGUGGGAAAGGAAUGAGGCACACACAUAAACCGUGGGAAAGACUUAGGUGUCAGGGCCCAAGCCAGAAGAGGGAUAAGGAUGGACUGUUCCAGCCUUAGUCUGUGCUUAAAAAGACAGAAAUGCCCUUCUCUGGAAUUAUGAGGGAGAGGUCUGAGGGAAGGGAGGCAGGCAGCUUACUACUUGCCCUUUCACUGACCUAUAGCAUCUGAGGCAUCUGAGAGCAAAGUUAAAUAGAAUGAGGCUGGUCGCAAGCACUGGGAAGAGGUGGCGGUCCUCGGGUUUAAGGAGCCAAACCCUGGGCUUGGAAUUCAGCUCCCAGGGCCAGAGCAGCAUCUCUCUUCUGCGGAGGAGGUCACCUGAGCUCACAGGACUGGGAAUGUCGGCUUUGGACCCUCCUGAUCCCUGGUUGUUGAGAUUCCCUUGUGUCUCAAAAGCCUUGGAGCAGUGAAGUGUCUCUCCAGGAUUUUCUUUCCCAAUCAGUCAGCAGUCAACUUUCCUGGAAGAAUGUCCUUUCUACCCAAUCUGCCCAGGAGGGCGGGAAUGUGGCCGGCCCUCAGGAAGGGCCUCUGGGUGGCCUCUGCAUCCCUGGCUGGAGAAUGCGCACAGUUUGCAGAGGCUCAGAACUCCCAAUCGUCCACCUCCAGCUCUUCCAGGUUUGUUACCAGGCCAAAGAUUCCACUGUGGUCCUGAGACUGGCUGCCCUCAAAAUUGGUGAUGGGGGUGACAGGACGAAGCAAUUCGGGCAAAGCCUCUGAGGCACGUCGCUUGAUCUGGGGGAGAAGAGAGAGGUGGGUGACAGAUCCUGUUGCUCUGGGUCCCAGGACACCAUGGGGCAAGGAACCAUGGCCUGGUGGCAGACGGGCUGUCGGAGCCAACUCCAUGAGAGGAAGGAGCAGUGUCUUUCAGGGGCUUCGGAAGCGGGGUAGUUUCUCUCAUUCAAAGGGAGGGGAGAGAAAGCUAAAGGGAUUGUGAGUUGUUAGAACCAGAACUAGAACCAGAACCAGAACGAAGGGGCUACGAUACCUGCUUGAAGAAAGAGUGGUUCAGGAGGGUGCUGGCACUGGGCCUGGAGGGAAAGGGGAGGAGAGACCGCAGCAUCACUGCCGUGUCCCCAGCUUCCCGAAAUCCUGCCACUUAUGCCUCAGCCUCGGGUCCCCUCUCCCUCUCCCUCAGCUCAUGGGAAGCAGUGGCCAGAGCUCCCCAGGCUGGCCUCUGACACACCCAGGAGCUGAUCCCUCCUGUGUGUAGCUCCAGAUUCCCCUGCAGAACCUUUGGGAGGUAAGUCCCUUCACACCCUGGCCUUACCCUCCUGAGCACCCUCUGCUCUCCCGAAGCCCAGGCCCAGGCCAGCAGGGAUACCUGGCAUCCGGGUUGCGCUGAAGGCACUGCUCCACAAAGUGGUGGAAGUGGGGGGAGAAGGUUCGGUGGUAGGGGUGGGAGGGCGAGUCACCGUUGGAGGGCCGGGGGGUGCUGGUGGUCAGGCUGUCACUCAGGCCAGAGUUGGCCACUGAGCGCGAAGGGCUCAUGGUCAGCUCCUCAGCGGGGAUGGUGCUGGUA
rnacentral:lncRNA from 10 species